rnacentral:rRNA from 1 species
CUACGGGUGGCACCAGUGGGGAAUAUUGCACAAUGGAGGAAACUCUGAUGCAGCAACGCCGCGUGGAGGAUGACACUUUUCGGAGCGUAAACUCCUUUUAUAUAGGAAGAAGAUGACGGUACUACAUGAAUAAGCGCCGGCUAACUCCGUGCCAGCAGCCGCGGUAAUAGGGAGGGCGCAAGCGUUACUCGGAAUCACUGGGCGUAAAGAGCGUGUAGGCGGAUUAAAAAGUCAGAAGUGAAAUCCUAUAGCUUAACUAUAGAACUGCUUCUGAAACUCUUAAUCUAGAAUAUGGGAGAGGUAGAUGGAAUUUCUGGUGUAGGGGUAAAAUCCGUAGAGAUCAGAAGGAAUACUGAUUGCGAAGGCGAUCUACUAGAACAUUAUUGACGCUGAGACGCGAAAGCGUGGGGAGCAAACAGGAUUAGAUACCCCCGUAGUC